UAAGAAGGGGGCGAGCGUUGUUCGGAAUUACUGGGCGUAAAGGGAGCGUAGGCGGCCGAUCAAGUCAGAUGUGAAAGUCCUGGGCUUAACCUGGGGACUGCAUUUGAUACUGAUUGGCUUGAAUGCAGGAGAGGAUAGCGGAAUUCCCAGUGUAGAGGUGAAAUUCGUAGAUAUUGGGAAGAACACCGGUGGCGAAGGCGGCUAUCUGGACUGUGAUUGACGCUGAGGCGCGAAAGCGUGGGGAGCAAACAGG
rnacentral:rRNA from 1 species